GGGUUGUGAGGUUAAGCGACUAAGCGUACACGGUGGAUGCCCUGGCAGUCAGAGGCGAUGAAGGACGUGCUAAUCUGCGAUAAGCGUCGGUAAGGUGAUAUGAACCGUUAUAACCGGCGAUUUCCGAAUGGGGAAACCCAGUGUGAUUCGUCACACUAUCAUUAACUGAAUCCAUAGGUUAAUGAGGCGAACCGGGGGAACUGAAACAUCUAAGUACCCCGAGGAAAAGAAAUCAACCGAGAUUCCCCCAGUAGCGGCGAGCGAACGGGGAGCAGCCCAGAGCCUGAAUCAGUGUGUGUGUUAGUGGAAGCGUCUGGAAAGGCGUGCGAUACAGGGUGACAGCCCCGUACACAAAAAUGCACAUACUGUGAGCUCGAUGAGUAGGGCGGGACACGUGGUAUCCUGUCUGAAUAUGGGGGGACCAUCCUCCAAGGCUAAAUACUCCUGACUGACCGAUAGUGAACCAGUACCGUGAGGGAAAGGCGAAAAGAACCCCGGCGAGGGGAGUGAAAAAGAACCUGAAACCGUGUACGUACAAGCAGUGGGAGCACGCUUAGGCGUGUGACUGCGUACCUUUUGUAUAAUGGGUCAGCGACUUAUAUUCUGUAGCAAGGUUAACCGAAUAGGGGAGCCGAAGGGAAACCGAGUCUUAACUGGGCGUUAAGUUGCAGGGUAUAGACCCGAAACCCGGUGAUCUAGCCAUGGGCAGGUUGAAGGUUGGGUAACACUAACUGGAGGACCGAACCGACUAAUGUUGAAAAAUUAGCGGAUGACUUGUGGCUGGGGGUGAAAGGCCAAUCAAACCGGGAGAUAGCUGGUUCUCCCCGAAAGCUAUUUAGGUAGCGCCUCGUGAAUUCAUCUCCGGGGGUAGAGCACUGUUUCGGCAAGGGGGUCAUCCCGACUUACCAACCCGAUGCAAACUGCGAAUACCGGAGAAUGUUAUCACGGGAGACACACGGCGGGUGCUAACGUCCGUCGUGAAGAGGGAAACAACCCAGACCGCCAGCUAAGGUCCCAAAGUCAUGGUUAAGUGGGAAACGAUGUGGGAAGGCCCAGACAGCCAGGAUGUUGGCUUAGAAGCAGCCAUCAUUUAAAGAAAGCGUAAUAGCUCACUGGUCGAGUCGGCCUGCGCGGAAGAUGUAACGGGGCUAAACCAUGCACCGAAGCUGCGGCAGCGACGCUUAUGCGUUGUUGGGUAGGGGAGCGUU
rnacentral:rRNA from 1 species